AACGCACCUUGCGCCCUUUGGUAUUCCGAAGGGCAUGCCUGUUUGAGUGUCAUUAAAUUCUCAACCUUGUUUGCUUUAUUGUGAACUCGGCUUGGAUGUGAGGGUUUUGCUGGCUUCCUUCAGUGGCGGUCUGCUCCCUUUAAAAGCAUUAGUGGGAUCCAUUGUGGAACGUCACUGGCUGUGAUAAUUAUCUACGCCUAUCGACUGUGAAGCAACAAAGUGGGAACCUGCUUAUAACCGUCCGCAAGGACAACACUUUAUUGACAAUUUGACCUCAAAUCAGGUAGGACUACCCGCUGAACUUAA
rnacentral:misc_RNA from 1 species